rnacentral:rRNA from 1 species
CACGUAGGGGGCAAGCGUUGUCCGGAUUUAUUGGGCGUAAAGAGCUCGUAGGUGGUUCGGUAAGUCGGGUGUUAAACCCCCAGGCUCAACCUGGGGACGCCACUCGAUACUGCUGUGACUAGAGUCCGGUAGGGGAGCGUGGAAUUCCUGGUGUAGCGGUGAAAUGCGCAGAUAUCAGGAGAAACACCAGCGGCGAAGGCGGCGCUCUGGGCCGGUACUGACACUGAGGAGCGAAAGCGUGGGUAGCAAACAGG